CAGGAAGUAGUUUAAUUAAAAAUUUAAGUUUUGGAAAUUUAAGAUGCUUUAGGGUCUUCUUGA
rnacentral:tRNA from 1 species